rnacentral:rRNA from 1 species
GGGUUGUGAGGUUAAGCGACUAAGCGUACACGGUGGAUGCCCUGGCAGUCAGAGGCGAUGAAGGACGUGCUAAUCUGCGAUAAGCGUCGGUAAGGUGAUAUGAACCGUUAUAACCGGCGAUUUCCGAAUGGGGAAACCCAGUGUGUUUCGACACACUAUCAUUAACUGAAUCCAUAGGUUAAUGAGGCGAACCGGGGGAACUGAAACAUCUAAGUACCCCGAGGAAAAGAAAUCAACCGAGAUUCCCCCAGUAGCGGCGAGCGAACGGGGAGCAGCCCAGAGCCUGAAUCAGUGUGUGUGUUAGUGGAAGCGUCUGGAAAGGCGCGCGAUACAGGGUGACAGCCCCGUACACAAAAAUGCACAUGCUGUGAGCUCGAUGAGUAGGGCGGGACACGUGGUAUCCUGUCUGAAUAUGGGGGGACCAUCCUCCAAGGCUAAAUACUCCUGACUGACCGAUAGUGAACCAGUACCGUGAGGGAAAGGCGAAAAGAACCCCGGCGAGGGGAGUGAAAAAGAACCUGAAACCGUGUACGUACAAGCAGUGGGAGCACAGAGCAAUCUGUGUGACUGCGUACCUUUUGUAUAAUGGGUCAGCGACUUAUAUUCUGUAGCAAGGUUAACCGAAUAGGGGAGCCGAAGGGAAACCGAGUCUUAACUGGGCGUUAAGUUGCAGGGUAUAGACCCGAAACCCGGUGAUCUAGCCAUGGGCAGGUUGAAGGUUGGGUAACACUAACUGGAGGACCGAACCGACUAAUGUUGAAAAAUUAGCGGAUGACUUGUGGCUGGGGGUGAAAGGCCAAUCAAACCGGGAGAUAGCUGGUUCUCCCCGAAAGCUAUUUAGGUAGCGCCUCGUGAAUUCAU